GACGAACGCUGGCGGCGUGCUUAACACAUGCAAGUCGAACGAUGAAGCCUAGCUUGCUAGGUGGAUUAGUGGCGAACGGGUGAGUAAUACGUGAGUAACCUACCUUUAACUCUGGGAUAAGCCCGGGAAACUGGGUCUAAUACCGGAUACGACCAAUCUCCGCAUGGGGUGUUGGUGGAAAGCGUUAUGUAGUGGUUAUAGAUGGGCUCACGGCCUAUCAGCUUGUUGGUGAGGUAACGGCUCACCAAGGCGACGACGGGUAGCCGGCCUGAGAGGGUGACCGGCCACACUGGGACUGAGACACGGCCCAGACUCCUACGGGAGGCAGCAGUGGGGAAUAUUGCGCAAUGGGCGCAAGCCUGAUGCAGCGACGCCGCGUGAGGGAUGACGGCCCUCGGGUUGUAAACCUCUGUUAGCAGGGAAGAAGAGAGAUUGACGGUACCUGCAGAGAAAGCGCCGGCUAACUACGUGCCAGCAGCCGCGGUAAUACGUAGGGCGCGAGCGUUGUCCGGAAUUAUUGGGCGUAAAGAGCUUGUAGGCGGUUUGUCGCGUCUGCUGUGAAGGCCGGGGCUUAACCCCGUGUAUUGCAGUGGGUACGGGCAGACUAGAGUGCAGUAGGGGAGACUGGAAUUCCUGGUGUAGCGGUGGAAUGCGCAGAUAUCAGGAGGAACACCGAUGGCGAAGGCAGGUCUCUGGGCUGUAACUGACGCUGAGAAGCGAAAGCAUGGGGAGCGAACAGGAUUAGAUACCCUGGUAGUCCAUGCCGUAAACGUUGGGCACUAGGUGUGGGGGACAUUCCACGUUUUCCGCGCCGUAGCUAACGCAUUAAGUGCCCCGCCUGGGGAGUACGGCCGCAAGGCUAAAACUCAAAGAAAUUGACGGGGGCCCGCACAAGCGGCGGAGCAUGCGGAUUAAUUCGAUGCAACGCGAAGAACCUUACCAAGGCUUGACAUAUACUGGACCGCAUCAGAGAUGGUGUUUCCCUUCGGGGCUGGUAUACAGGUGGUGCAUGGUUGUCGUCAGCUCGUGUCGUGAGAUGUUGGGUUAAGUCCCGCAACGAGCGCAACCCUCGUUCUAUGUUGCCAGCACGUUAUGGUGGGGACUCAUAGGAGACUGCCGGGGUCAACUCGGAGGAAGGUGGGGAUGACGUCAAAUCAUCAUGCCCCUUAUGUCUUGGGCUUCACGCAUGCUACAAUGGCCGGUACAGAGGGUUGCGAUACUGUGAGGUGGAGCUAAUCCCUAAAAGCCGGUCUCAGUUCGGAUUGGGGUCUGCAACUCGACCCCAUGAAGUCGGAGUCGCUAGUAACCGCAGAUCAGCAACGCUGCGGUGAAUACGUUCCCGGGCCU
rnacentral:rRNA from 1 species